UUUGGACUUGUUUCUUCGAAACUAGUUAGCCAGGAGGCAGGAUACUUUGAUCAACCUACAGCUAAGAAGAUUACCUUAACUACAAAGCGGUUUGCUCUAGCAGUCGGAAAUUCGGAGGUUGUGUGACGAAUCAGGAAUACUGCUCCAUGUGGAAUGCAGCAUGCCGUUCAACAACAUGUCCCUACCUUUAGCGAAUACAAAUGGUGCAUGUUUCAGUAGAACUUUAAAAAAAAUGCUAUGCAAAGAUAGCUGAAAUUGAGGUAGGUUCUAAGACCAAUUUCCUCAAAUUUCAAAAAAAUAAAACAAAAUAAUAUGAACAUUUAAGUUCUAUAAAAUAGUUCUAUUUAGAACCGAAUAAGUCAAAAUCAAAAACAUUUAGAGCGUCUCGUCUAUCAUACUAAGUCUCCGGAAUGAAAAGUUCGAGUUGGUUUGACAAAUGAAAAUGAAUAAAUA